ensembl:snoRNA
AUGACCCUGAAUCAAGGCUGGCAGUUUGCUGAAGCUGUUGGUUUCAAGCAAGAGACUAAAGUGGUAUCUUUCUAUGGUCUAUUGGCCACUUCAAAACUUUAGAGAAAUGUAAUGAAAGAAACAACU